GAUUUUUUUUUAUUUUAUAUUUCAAUAAUUAAGGGUAAACUUCAAAUAUGCCCCGUGAUUUCACACUUUUUCAUUUUAGUAUCCUAUAGUUUAAAGUGUAUUAUUAAGUUAGCCCCUAUGGGUUCGCACUUUCUCACUUUAUCUCACUUUAGUAUCCUGUGGUUUAAAGUGCAUCAAGUUAGUACCCUAUGAUUUCAUUUUUCUUUCUUAAUUAUUUCUUUCACUAAUUUUUUUUGUUAAAUCAGUGACAGUUAAAAUUAAAGGGUACUAAAGUGAAUAUUCGAUAAAUCUAGAUAGGAUAUCUAAAAUUUUUUGUAUAUAAUUUAACGAAAUAUUAACGGAGGAAAAAAAAUUAAGUGACAAAAUUUAAAACUAAAGGGUACUAAAGUGAGUAUUCGAUCAACCUAGAUAGGAUAUCUGAAGUUUUUUGUAUGUAAUUUAACGAAAUAUUAACAGAGGAACCAACGAAAAGAGAAAAAUAAAACCACAGGUUACUAAAUUGAUGUACUUUAAACCACAUGGUACUAAAGUGAAAAAGUGCGAAACCACAGGAUACUAAAUUAAUACACUUUAAACUACAAGAUACUAAAGUAAAAAAGUGCGAAACCACGGGGGUGGUAUCUGAAGUUUUCCCAAUAAUUAAUU
rnacentral:lncRNA from 1 species